rnacentral:rRNA from 1 species
GACGGGACCCGCACAAGCAGCGGAGCGUGUGGUUUAAUUCGUUGCUACACGAAGAACCUUACCUGGGUUUGACAUAUAGGUUGUAGGGAACUGAAAAGGGACCGACCCUUCGGGAGCCUAUACAGGUGUUGCAUGGCUGUCGUCAGCUCGUGUCGUGAGAUGUUCGGUUAAGUCCGCUAACGAGCGCAACCCUCGUCGUAUGUUAUAUGUGUCAUACGAGACUGCCGGUAAAAGCCGGAGGAAGGUGAGGAUGAUGUCAAGUCAGCAUGACCUUUAUAUCCAGGGCUACACACACGCUACAAUGGUCUGUACAAUGGGUAGCCAAGCCGCGAGGCGGAGCCAAUCCUGAAAGCAGGCCUCAGUUCAGAUUGCAGUCUGCAACUCGACUGCAUGAAGCCGGAGUUGCUAGUAACCGCAGGUCAGCAAUACUGCGGUGAAUACGUUCCCGGGUCUU